rnacentral:rRNA from 1 species
UACGUAGGGUCCGAGCGUUACUCGGAAUUACUGGGCGUAAAGCGUGCGCAGGCGGUUUUGUAAGCCAGAUGUUAAAGCCCCGGGCUCAACCUGGGAACUGCAUUUGGGACUGCAAGGCUGGAGUACGGCAGAGGGAGGUGGAAUUCCACGUGUAGCAGUGAAAUGCGUAGAGAUGUGGAGGAACACCGAUGGCGAAGGCAGCCUCCUGGGCUAGUACUGACGCUCAUGCACGAAAGCGUGGGGAGCAAAAGGG